AGCAGCCGCGGUAAUUCCAGCUCCAAUAGCGUAUAUUAAAGUUGUUGCAGUUAAAAGCUCGUAGUUGAACUUCAGGCCUGUCCAGAUGGUCCGCCUUAAUUGGUGUGUACUGUCCUUGGGUGGGUCCUACCUUCUGGCGAAGCGGCAUGGCCUUAGUUGGUUGUGUUGGGGAACCAGGACUUUUACUGUGAAAAAUUAGAGUGUUCAAAGCAGGCAUAAUAUGCUCGAAUGCAUUAGCAUGGAAUAAUGGAAUAGGACGAUGGUUCUAUUUUGUUGGUUCUAGGACCGUUGUAAUGAUUAAUAGGGAUAGUUGGGGGCAUUAGUAUUCAAUUGUCAGAGGUGAAAUUCUUGGAUUUAUUGAAGGCUGACUACNGCG
rnacentral:misc_RNA from 1 species